CCUACGGGUGGCUGCAGUGGGGAAUAUUGCACAAUGGGGGAAACCCUGAUGCAGCAACGCCGCGUGAGUGAUGACGGCCUUCGGGUUGUAAAGCUCUGUCUUCAGGGACGAUAAUGACGGUACCCAAGGAAUAAGCCCCGGCUAACUACGUGCCAGCAGCCGCGGUAAUACGUAGGGGGCAAGCGUUGUUCGGAAUGACUGGGCGUAAAGGGUGUGUAGGCGGGGUAGCAAGUUAGAAGUGAAAUACCUAGAGCUUAACUCAGGUGCUGCUUCUAAAACUGCUAUACUUGAGUGCAGUAGAGGAAAGUGGAAUUCCUAGUGUAGCGGUGGAAUGCGUAGAUAUUAGGAGGAACAUCAGUGGCGAAGGCGACUUUCUGGACUGUAACUGACGCUGAGGCACGAAAGUGUGGGGAGCAAACAGGAUUAGAUACCCUUGUAGUC
rnacentral:rRNA from 1 species